GAGGGACGGGAGCCUAGGAGACCGCAGCGUCCGGGCUGGCGGCGGGUCCUGGUUCCCGGGCUGGAGGGCCAGGUGAAUCCAGGCUCCGAGGUGUCCUCGAGCCGGACCGGGACUGACGACAGAGCCGGUGGCAGAUGGAGGGGGCUGGCUUUGUCCUUUGGUCGCCCGAGAGAAGCGCUGGGACCCGGCGAGCCUCCCCGGGUCUCGCACGUCCCCUCCAAGCUCUCCAGCUCAGCCCCCGGCCGCGGUGCACGCCCCCUCCAGCAAACCCCUGUCCUCCGGGGCAGCCGGGGGAGGGUUUCUGUCCGGAGCGCGCGUCCCGCCGCUCGGGCCGGCCGCGUCCGGAGCAUCCCCGGCGGCCUCAGCCUUCCGCCCUCCGCCUCGCAGUCUCGCAGGCCAGUCUGGUCCGCCUCUACCACCGGUUUCGGGCGCUGGACGGGAAUAAGAAGGGCUACCUGAGCCGCGCCGAUCUGCAGGAGAUUGGGGCGCUGGCCGUGAACCCCCUGGGAGACCGCAUUAUAGACAGCUUCUUCCCUGAUGGGAGUCUGCGAGUGGAUUUCCUGGGCUUUGUCAGAGUCCUGGCGCAUUUUCGACCUGUAGAUGAUGAGGACGCAGGAAUCCGGGACCCCAAGGAACCUGAACCCCUCAACAGCAGGAUGAACAAACUUCGCUUUGCAUUUCAGCUCUACGACCUGGAUCGAGAUGGAAAGAUCUCCAGGCAUGAGAUGUUACAGGUCAGAAGAACACAAGAGCAAGAGAUGCGUGGAGUGUAGGGUGCUCCGGCUGAUGGUUGGGGUACAGGUGACUGAAGAGCAGUUGGAGAGCAUUGCUGACCGCACAGUGCAGGAAGCCGAUGAAGAUGGAGAUGGGGCUGUGUCCUUCCUGGAGUUCGCCAAGUCCUUAGAGAAGAUGAACAUCGAGCAGAAAAUGAGCAUCCGGAUCCUGAAGUGACCCCUUUGUGCCUUGGGCUACCUACUCAGACUGGUUCUGCCUGGGAGUGUUCCUCAGCCCCCAUGAAGGCAGGGCCCCAAUAAACUAUUCCUAUGUCUACACUGAACUCUAUUGAGAGCCAAGGAGAGAAAGCUGGAAGGAUGUGUGUGUACUACAGUCUAACUCAUUUCAUCUCAGAUCUUUGAAUCAGCCAGCAGUCUUGGUUACAAGUGACUGAAAACCCAAAUCAGUGACUUAAGUAAAAAAAAAGAGAUGUUAGGGGCUCAUGGACAGUAAUUAAAAAGUCUGGGAGUAUCUUCAGAAUAGUGGAAAAGUCUGGAAUGCUCUCACUGACCAGACCUCUGUCACAUGCUAAUUGUUAGAACCAGGAAAUAAGGACUGAGGACUCAGGAUGGGGUAAAGGAUGGUUGCUUAAAGGAAAAUGAAGUGUUAUAUUAGAAGAAGAGGAAAUGGUGCUGGCUAGGCAAAAUAAGAGAUCGACCAAAUUCCUGUUGGGUUAACCAAAUGGAGGGAUUCUUGGAGUCUGGCUUUUAAAUAGGUUUUCACUGCUCCAGGAGGUGCAUGGCAGUGUGAUGGGGAUGUGUGGAUGAGGGAGAGGUGAUGUAAAAAUAAUAAACAAGCCAUGCCUUCCUAGAAUAGGAAACUAUUCAAAGAUUCGGAGAGUAAUUCCAUUUUUUCAUGGUCAGAUGUUCACCCUUGACAUAUCACAGAAUAGAAUAUAAAAGUGACAUAAAAUCCUGAGAUUCUAUGACUGUUGCAGAGUGCUCUGGCUUACCUGUAGGAGGUGCUGUCAGUGCCCUGCCUGUAUCCCCUCCCAGGGCUCUGCUGGGGCUGUCUAUCUACAUGAGAGCCAAUUGUGCUCAUAUCUUCCCAACUGUGCUUUCAGGGAUGUCCCACUGGUAGCUUGAAUUGGCUGUAGUGGCAAUAUUUAUACCACAGACAUUGGCAAAUGUACUAAGCCAGGGCUUUUCCCAUCACAAGAGUUUGCUGUUCAGCGUUUAUCAGCUCACCACUUGCUCAGCGUUCAUCAUUACUGUACAUGCCCAUGGUUUCUUUCUUCCCCCAGCUUUACUGAGGUGUAAUUGGUAUAUAAAAACUGCACAUAAUUAAGAUACACAGUUUGUUGAGUUUGGACAUACAUAUACACUCUUAUUACCAUAGCCACAAUCAAGGUAAUAAACGCCCAUUAUUUCCAAAAA